rnacentral:miRNA from 1 species
UAGGGCCAUCUCAUCCAGAUA